UGGAGGAUAGCAGUGGGAGAAUUUUCCUUACAAAUCCUGAGCAAAAUUGAACUUCUUCCUAAACAGAGAUUAAAGAUCUAUAUCUGCAAGGAGGUCCUGUUCUUUACUGAUGAGCUUUCUGCUUCUUCUGAGACAGCUUGCCCUAAAGAAGACAGAGUGGGGACAUCUUCACAUGGACUCCUAGAUCUUGGGAAAGCUUUCUCAAUCCAAUGGAUUUAGUCAUGGAGAAGAUCCACAGCUCUUUCCACUCCUCCCCUCAGCCACCAGCCAGGUUUAAACUGUGCCCACGGAACUGAGCUACGUCAGCAAUGAUGUCACACAGGGACCCCGGAGCCCUGUGCUCACUCGGAUCCCAGGCCCUCUUCUGGGAGGUGUGGGUCCGAGUCUCCCUGUAGGACAGCGUCUGUGGCUACUGAUGGAUGGAAACACGUGACUAAAUCCGUCCCCCACUCGCGAGGGGCUGGGGCAUCACCUGUAUCUGAGAGUUGGGAUAAAAAUUCUGCCAGAAACCCUUUUGGGCUCACCUUCACCCUGACUGGAUGAAGCACUGAUUUGGGAAGAGGAAGGCUUUCUCUGAGACUUUAAGGUGCCAGAUGCUUUCCAGACACUAUGGAUUCACCGACAAAUGGAACAGACAAGUCCCCAUCCUCAGGAUCCUUCUAUUUUCAUGAGGAAGACAGAUGAUAAAUGAGCAACACAACAUCUGAUGACAUCAGGGAGAUUUUCGAGUCAUCCCAAUA